rnacentral:pre_miRNA from 8 species
UAAACAUAUUUUAAGGCCUUCUCUUCCUGGUUUUUCCCAGAGUCAGGAAAAGCUGGACUGAGAGGGCAAAAGGAAAAAACAA